rnacentral:rRNA from 1 species
CAGCCGCCACGGUAAUACGUAGGUGGCAAGCGUUGUCCGGAAUUAUUGGGCGUAAAGGGCUCGCAGGCGGUUUCUUAAGUCUGAUGUGAAAGCCCCCGGCUCAACCGGGGAGGGUCAUUGGAAACUGGGAAACUCGAGUGCAGAAGAGGAGAGUGGAAUUCCACGUAUAGCGGUGAAAUGCGUAGAGAUGUGGAGGAACACCAGUGGCGAAGGCGACUCUCUGGUCUGUAACUGACGCUGAGGAGCGAAAGCGUGGGGAGCGAACAGGAUUAGAUACCCGAGUAGUCCCUGUCUCUUAUAC